rnacentral:rRNA from 1 species
UACAGAGGGUGCAAGCGUUAAUCGGAAUUACUGGGCGUAAAGCGUGCGCAGACGGUUGCGUAAGUCAGAUGUGAAAGCCCCGGGCUCAACCUGGGAAUUGCAUUUGAGACUGCGUAGCUAGGGUGCGGAAGAGGGAAGCGGAAUUUCCGGUGUAGCGGUGAAAUGCGUAGAUAUCUGGAGGAACACCGGUGGCGAAGGCGGCGUCCUGGACCAACACUGACACUGAUGAGCGAAAGCCAGGGGAGCAAACGGG